rnacentral:rRNA from 1 species
UACAGAGGGUGCGAGCGUUAAUCGGAAUUACUGGGCGUAAAGCGUGCGUAGACGGUAGCGUAAGUCAGAUGUGAAAGCCCCGGGCUCAACCUGGGAAUUGCAUUUGAGACUGCUCUGCUCGGGUGCGGAAGAGGGAAGCGGAAUUUCCGGUGUAGCGGUGAAAUGCGCAGAUAUCGGGAGGAACACCGGUGGCGAAGGCGGUUCUCUGGGCCUGUACUGACGCUGAGGAGCGAAAGCGUGGGGAGCGAACAGG